AGUGAACGCUGGCGGUAGGCCUAACACAUGCAAGUCGAACGGCAGCACAGGAGAGCUUGCUCUCUGGGUGGCGAGUGGCGGACGGGUGAGGAAUACAUCGGAAUCUGCCCAGUCGUGGGGGAUAACGUAGGGAAACUUACGCUAAUACCGCAUACGACCUUCGGGUGAAAGAGGGGGAUCGCAAGACCUCUCGCGAUUGGAUGAGCCGAUGUCGGAUUAGCUAGUUGGCGGGGUAAUGGCCCACCAAGGCAACGAUCCGUAGCUGGUCUGAGAGGAUGAUCAGCCACACUGGAACUGAGACACGGUCCAGACUCCUACGGGAGGCAGCAGUGGGGAAUAUUGGACAAUGGGCGCAAGCCUGAUCCAGCCAUACCGCGUGGGUGAAGAAGGCCUUCGGGUUGUAAAGCCCUUUUGUUGGGAAAGAAAUCUUUCAGGCUAAUACCCUGGGAGGAUGACGGUACCCAAAGAAUAAGCACCGGCUAACUUCGUG
rnacentral:rRNA from 1 species